UACGUAGGUGGCGAGCGUUGUCCGGAUUUACUGGGCGUAAAGGGUGCGUAGGCGGGUCUUUAAGUCAGGGGUGAAAUCCUGGAGCUCAACUCCAGAACUGCCUUUGAUACUGAGGAUCUUGAGUUCGGGAGUGGUGAGUGGAACUGCGAGUGUAGAGGUGAAAUUCGUAGAUAUUCGCAAGAACACCAGUGGCGAAGGCGGCUCACUGGCCCGAUACUGACGCUGAGGCACGAAAGCGUGGGGAGCAAACAGG
rnacentral:rRNA from 1 species